rnacentral:lncRNA from 1 species
AGUCGGAGGCCCGGCUGCUGGGGGGCACUGGGGCAGGCCUUACCGCCAACCCCGCACCCUCGGCCGGGAGGCUGCAGGUCGGUGGCUAACCCCAGGCGUGUCCCGGGAUGGGACCCGACUCUGCCCUCAGAGACAGGGACAGUCGGGCCAGGCCAACAAACAACCAAAAUCCCAACGUGUGCUGGGCUCACCCGGGACACCAGGGCCGGAGGGAGAGACCCGGGAAGUCACCGAGGCUGCAGGGGAGGCAGCUUUGGCGCUGGGCCUGCGGGAGCCUCUUGUAUAGGAAUUCAUAGCUACCGGGGUUACUGAGGAUGAGUUAGGCUUUGGAACCACAAGUAGAUUUAUUUUCCAAAGAAGAAGAAUAAAAUGGUGCAGGUGAAGAUGCGGAGGAACUGGAUGAGACGCAUAGGAACGCCACUGGGCAGCUCAAAGCGGUGUUCCUGUGAGUUCACCAUGGACCCCUUGAGCCACCGACGCCCCGCCCAGCCUUACACUCAGCAGAAACGCAUACAACAUGUGCUCCAAAAGACAGAAAGACAUGUAGCCGCACAUUCAUAAUUCCUCCAAUUGGGAAGCCUAGCGUCAUCAAGGCAGAUGAAUAUCGUGGAGUAUUCGGGCUUAGGAGCACGACAAACGGAACAGGAGUGAAUGAUCCGCAACUCACAUAACGGUUCUCAGCACAUCCAGCUUCCAGAGGCCCACUGGAAGAUCAUAGGCCUGAGAUUCUUGCAGUCCAGGUGAGCCACACCCAGGUGCUGGGAGAAGAACCCAUCAUGGGCACGGGCAUUCCUGCACAUUCUUGCUGAGUAUGCCACAAAUGCAAAGCCCUGGUCACUCUGUACCCGUGUCUCAGGGUCGUGUUUGCAAAAAGCAACCUCAAAGGAGGAGGUACCAUCUCCCUCUGGACAAGUUUACCGGAAAAUCGGUAAAUUCCCCAAACUCAGUGUUCUCCUGUGUAAUGCAGCCCAUUGUGUGUGCAGGCAUCCACCAUCCAUGAUGGGCCCUUGACCUCGCCCACUCCACACCGACCCUAGGACUUGGAAGACACAAGGAACUCAUGUGAACACCAUGCUUAAACUGCAGCUAUUAUUUUACUGCAACUAAUAAAGUCCCUGUCUCUGACCCAGGAGUCUCAGAACUGGAGAUUGGCAGUGCCUCUAUUUGAAUGGAGGUCAUCUGACUCCCUUUGUAUCUUGGGUUCUGUUUUUCAAUAAAAAUUAUAGCAUUGUAACAUUUCCCUGUCUUAUUAGAAAUCUCCAUUACAUAUCCAGUGAGUGGAUAUGUUUAGAAGUCGCAUACACAUUUACUUAACCACUCACUCUCUUAUUAGGGGACAUUUUCGUCAUUUAAACUUUGCAGCGUUAGAAAUGAUGCUGCCGUGAAACCUGUGCGCUCCAGGUUCAGCUGUACCUCUGCGGCUCCCAGCAGGAAUGGCCUAGAAGAGUAAGUGCUGCACCAAGAAACUGACAAAUUCACAAUCCAGAGAGAGACACAGCAGCUGUGAGUCUCUCCACUUCCAGCCAGCAUUGUGUCACCUCGUUGUUUAAUCUGA